CCUUCCCUCCCUCACAUCUUCAACCCACCCCUCCUUCCCUCACCUGAGCGCGGGAUCAACUCAGCUCGUCUGGCAAUGAAACACUUGUUGAGUUGUGUUGAUCUUGGGGCGAACCUCGGAACUCCAGGCAGGGAAUGACAACACAGUGUUUAAAUAAAGUGUGGGUGAUCCGGUCGUGUUUUACAUUAACUCCAGAGGCUGGCGGGAAGGGAUGGAGUUAAAAUUUUCAUUAUAAUUUGAUUACGUCUCGUUUGGUCCGAUAUUGCAACGCGAAUAAUCUCUCUCUACUCCUCCUCUUCCUCCUCCAGUCUUGAUUGGUCCGAAACAGAAAUGCGAUGCUUCGAAACUUGAUGACGAUUUCGGUUCGGCUUUACUUACGCAGCUCGGUACUUCGUUAGGGCGAGUCGAGUCCGUAGUCGAGCACCGCAUAGAAAAUGGGAGGCGUGGAGUGCUUUGUGUGACGUCAGUACUCGUGAAGCUACGGGACGCGGUGGUGGUGGUGGUGGUGGUGAUAGUGGUGGUGAUGUUUGUUGUGGUACAGUAGUGGUGGUUGUGAAGAAACGUAGGUAGCGGGCGGCGUGGGCCAGACGAAGCAGCAUCGCCUCGCCCACACACGUAUUGCUUUUUCAUGAUGGUGCUCGCUGACUCUGAACUCGCCUGUGGUUAUGAGGAGGAGGAAAAAGAAGAAGAAAAGGAGGAGGGCAGGAGGAAAAGACCAGAGGAGGAGGAGGAAGUAGAAAAUUAAGGAGUAAGAAGAAAAGGUCAUCAGAGGAAGAGGAGGAGGAAGAAAGAGGUCAUCAGAAGAGGAAGAAAAGAAAGGAGUAGGGAAAAAAUCAAAGGAGGAGGAGGAGGAAGAAAUGAGCAUCAGAGGAAAAGGAGGAAGGAAAGGAGGGCAGAGGAGGAGAAGGAAGAAAAGGAGGACAGAGGAGGAGGAGGAGAAAGAAGAAAAUGAGAUCAUCAGAAGAGGAAGAAAAGGAAAGAGUAAGGAGAAAAGGAAAUCAGAAGAGGAGGAGGAAGAUGAAAAGGGGUUAACUGAGGAAGAGUAGAAAGAAAAGGUCACCACAAGAGGAAGAAAAGGAAGGAGUAGAAGAAAAUGAGAUCAGAGGAGGAAGAGGAGGAGGAAAAAGAAAAGAUGAUCAUCAGAGGAAGAGUUGGAAGAAGUAGGAAGAAAAGAAGGUCAUGAGAAAAGGGGGAGGAGGAAGCAGGAGGUGGUCUGAAAAGAGUUAUGGCCAGCUCAGAUUGUACGUGAAGGCAGUGAAUUAUGUUGUGUUGGCUUGAAGUGACUCUUGAAGCGACUCUCCCAGACUCUCCCAGGCCCCGCCAAGACAAUGGACGCGUGACUGCUGUGGAAGACUCGCACCUUUGUCCACCCAGAUCAGAGGAGAUUACAUUGGGCAAAGAUAAAACUAAAGCUUAAUCUCUAACAGGAGAGAAGUAAGGAGGUACCGCGCUCGAACACCAGCCACACCACCCACCUCGCCUCGCCUCGCCUUCCUCCCACAAGUUUGCAGCGGAGUCCGGGCCGCUCGGUAAACUUUGGUGCGGCCACCUGCUGCCGCCGCCAAAGAGGUGAGUCGGGGAUGGAGGGCCAAGUUAGCCUCCGUCCCACCGCACUAACUUGCCCUUGUGUUGCUGAAGAGGUGAUGGGGCCGCCGCGACGCUCAAAGCUCCGCCAAUUUACUGCCCUUCCCUUCCUCUUGUCCCCCCUCCUUCCCCUCCGCUAACUCUCUUCCUGGAGUUGUUAAUGGGUCCUCGUCUGGCGCCCCUCCAGCGGGACGUGUACGGCGUGCAGCGACCCUCUUUGUCACGGAAUUAAAUUACUUGUACUGUCAGGAAAAGCCGCCUCCAUGUCCCCAGGGAGUGAGGGAUUAAGGACUUUUAUCAUUAUUAUUAUUAUUAUUUUUAU